AAGACAGCAGCCAGACCUCAGACCUGCAUCCUUUAGAAUCAAGGAAAAUGCAUUUAUAUGAUUUAAUAGUCACUAUGUUUGCUUGAAAGAGCUGAGGAAGAAGGCUUUACUCUAAUUACAUGGUUCUCUUUUGUAGAAUAUCUCCAUGUUUCUAAGUGUUUGUUCUUUUGGGUAAUAGUAUAAUCAAUAUCUUCAUAUAUGAACAUUAAUCAAUAGACCAUUUGUUGAAUUCUUACAAAUGUAGUUGCUCAUUAAAGAAGGUAGUCUUUCUUAGAGCACUGGGAUAUUUUGAAAGAUGCACUUUAUUGAGCCCUGAUUUCUUCUUUUCCUACUGAAAAUAAAAAAAAAAAAAUCUCAGGACUAUAGCCCUAUCAGUUGGUUAGGUUGAAGAACACUAGACUGACUUUCAAAUCUUACUUGUCAUGAGAAAGUUAUUUCCUACCAACUUUUCAAAGUCAGUUGCAAUGACCGGUCUCCACCUAUUUUCUUUUCCAGGGAGAUUACCUGUGGAAAUCCAAUACAAAACUUUAAACAAACAUCUGAGAAACCUAUUAUUCCUGGCUAAGCACUGACAUCAUAUUUUAGAUUGUUUGAUAUAAGAAUUACUUACAUUUUUUUCUCUGAGUAUCCACUGAAAAUUUGAACAAGAAUUUCAUGGCCUCUGGGUAAAUAAGAAAGGUAAUUUGUGUCAAUACUUCCCAAGAUUCUUUCUGACCAUUUGACACCAUGGACUUAUGGAAAAUACCCUAUUACAUGAUGUAAGCCUUUGUAAUUGGAUCAAAUGGUGCUAUUUCAUAGAUUAGAAAUUUGAAAUGAAAUAAUGACUUAGUUUAAUAUAGGUACCAUUUAUUUGAAUUAUUUCAUUAUGAAAUAAUGAAGGGCAAGUUGAACAAUUAUUUAUAUUUUAUUACUAUUGUUUUAUGUAUAUUUGUAUUUUGCUUAUAUGUCUAUGCACCACAUGACUGUAAAGGCUAAAAUAAGGUAAUAGAGCCCAUGGGCCCAGAGCACAAUCUGUAGUGAGCAAAAUAUGGGUAUUGAGAACCAACCAAGAUCCUUAGAAUAGCAGCCUGUACUAUUAACCAUUGGUCUAUCUCUCCAGAACUCAGACUUUAAUUUUCAAGGAUACAGACAGGAACGUAUGAAUAACUGUCUUUCCCUAAAUGUUCCCUGACCAUUUGGCUGGAUCUCAGCAUCCCAUGUGUGUGAUUGUUCUUAAGCCAUUUUUUUUUUUAAAUCCCAGUAUCCGUCUUUGAGUAUUCUGUAAUAUAAAUGAUUAUAUUGUGGAUUCAAGGAUUACUGCCAUUUCCUUUGAAACAACAACUACAAAAAAAAAAAAAAAAAGUUUUCCAUGACAUAUUGACUAUUCCCUAGUGUCAUCUCUUAGAUGUUACAAAGCAGGAAGUUAAUUCUGUCCCAAAGUCAACUAGUUUUUCUUUAAAGAAAUUUAAAUGCAGCACAGAUAUAAAUAGGAAUCCAGAGAGAAGACAAAAAUUAAAUUAUUAAAAGUAAAAUUGAACUCUCAAUGUUAAUUAAGUAAUCUCAAACAGAACAUCAGUUACUAAGAAAACAAUCAACAAGAAGUACAGUAGGGUAUGGACAAAGGAAACCCUGAGACACUGCUGAUCAUGGUGAGAGCAGAAGAAAUGAUAUUCUGAGCUUCCCAACUGGCUAUCCAAAAGCAAGUGGUCAGCUCUGCAGUCACAUAAAUAGAAGUAACAGUGAGCAGACUGAACAGAUAAUAUUUAUAUAUUAAGGAAUAUAUGUCGUUGGUGGGUGUGUUUGUCAGUGUAAGAACAACUAAAGAAAAGGGGAAGAGAGGACAUGAAUUUAAGAGAGAGAAAUAGAGGUGCAAAAGAGAAAGAGAAGGAAAGAACAAGUCAGAGAAGAUAAUUGAGAUGUCUUAAAUGUAGAAAACAAAAGAGAAAUAUUUUAAUAUAAACAUUUUUAAUUAAAAAACAUCUGAACAUAAAUCUGCUAUAUGAGCAUACUUUGGUGUGUUAUACACAGGACCCCAGGUUAACCCAUUACAGAUGUCCUUGUAUAUCAGAGUUCAUUGUAGCACUAUUCAUCUUAGCCAAAUAUGGCACCAGAGCCACUGUUCAACAACAGAGGAAUGGAUAUGGGAAGACUGGUACAUAGUCACAAGGACAUUGUUCCAGGUGUAAAGGAAAAUGGAGCUGCGACUUUUGCCAAUAAUUAGAUGCAACUGGCGUUAGUCAUAUUAAGCAAAUUAAACUAGAUUCAGUAAUAUAAUUACUACAUGUUUUCUUUCGUUUAUUUCUUUAGUCAAAUAAAAUUCUGCAUGUAUGUUUAACAUUCAAGCUAGGUAUGACUUUGUCUAGGGUAGCAAAGGAGAUGCAGGAGGAAAGAGACAUGAGAAAAAGAGGGGUAUUAAAUAACGGGAUAGAAAGAAUCUAUUCAAUUCUUGGUAUGUGGCUGCAUGUAAACCUUUCCUAAAUAUCUUUAAAGACUAUUAAGAAGUCUGUUGAGUCCAUUAUCUUGGAUAUGUCCCCUGAUUUGUGGUCUGUCUACUAAUAUA
rnacentral:lncRNA from 1 species